rnacentral:rRNA from 1 species
UACGAAGGGGCUAGCGUUGUUCGGAAUUAUGUACGUGGGCGUAAAGCGCGCGCAGGCGGUCUUCCAAGUCAAGUGGUGAAAGCCCGGAGCUCAACUCCGGAACUGCCAUUGAAACUGUAAGACUUGAGGAUGAGAGAGGGUGAGUGGAAAUUCCCAGUGUAGAGGUGAAAUUCGAUAGAUAUUAGGGAAGAACACCGGUGGCGAAAGGCGGCUCACUGGCUACAUAUCUGACGCUCAGGCGCGACAGCGUGGGGAUCAAA